UUCCGAGACAGGUGCUGCAUGGCUGUCGUCAGCUCGUGCCGUGAGGUGUUGGGUUAAGUCCCGCAACGAGCGCAACCCUAUUGCCAGUUGCUACCAGGUAAUGCUGGGCACUCUGGUGAGACUGCCCCGGUUAACGGGGAGGAAGGUGGGACGACGUCAAGUCAUCAUGGCCCUUACGCCUAGGGCUACACACGUACUACAAUGGCGCAUACAAAGGGCAGCGAUACCGCGAGGUGGAGCCAAUCCCAAAAAGUGCGUCCCAGUCCGGAUUGCAGUCUGCAACUCGACUGCAUGAAGUUGGAAUCGCUAGUAAUUCGAGAUCAGCAUGCUCGGGUGAAUGCGUUCCCGGGCCUU
rnacentral:rRNA from 1 species